rnacentral:rRNA from 1 species
CAGCAGCCGCGGGAAUACGGAGGGAGCUAGCGUUGUUCGGAAUCACUGGGCGUAAAGCGCACGUAGGCGGCUAUUCAAGUCAGGGGUGAAAGCCCGGGGCUCAACCCCGGAACUGCCUUUGAAACUAGAUAGCUUGAAUCUUGGAGAGGCGAGUGGAAUUCCGAGUGUAGAGGUGAAAUUCGUAGAUAUUCGGAAGAACACCAGUGGCGAAGGCGACUCGCUGGACAAGUAUUGACGCUGAGGUGCGAAAGCGUGGGGAGCAAACAGGAUUAGAUACCCCAGUAGUCCCUGUCUCUUAUAC